AUAUAAGCCACAUCUAGUAUUUCAAUUAAUAGGAUGAGCAGUGCAGAUGUCACGCCAAACAAAUUCAGCCAUAUUUCAGAAGAGGUCAGUAGAGUAAAAGAAAUUGGUAUGUCUGUGGUCUCACAAAAAAGCCAGGGCACUUUUCUUCAAGGCUUUUGUCGGGCAGAUGGUGGUUCCUGCACUGAUCUGCAACAGCUAUUGCUGAGGUUGAAGCCCUGCGUCUGUCUCAUAUACUUCCAGAACACCUGGCAGAGCAGCAUGAAGUACUUCAACAUUGCUGAGCUGCUCCAACAACUUUCCUAAUAGUGGAACUUGGUAACCUUGAAGGCCAAUCACUUCACUUGGUGCGUGCGUUAUUUCAGCGUGAAGUGAGUUACAUCACUGUUUCUGUCACAGCUAACUCAAACCCAACAGUUGUCAAAAGUUUAUUCUUCUGCCACUUCUUCAUGUGGUCAUUGCUCUGUGUGUUGGCUGGGAGAAAUGAUUACCAGUUCAGUUGUUCCCUCAUUUUACACUGUGUAACUUUAUUUUUUAUAAAACUAAACUGCUGACACAGGAUGCAAGCUGUAGGUCUCACUGAUGUGUCUCAACAUUUGGAUACAAGUUUAAAUAUGUACAUGUACUGUGGAUUAAUAACGUGCCUUGCGUUUUUAGUGACUUUUAAGUAUUUUUAAAACAUUGCUAUCUCUUUAUUGCGUAUGAAGGACUUGCUAAUACUAGUCAUCCUGGCAGACUUGGUUGUAGCAGGGUCUCUGAUUUUAAAUGUUUGAGAGAAGUGCAGAGUGGUGAGAGUCAGUUCUGAGGAUAUAAACAAAUAUGAUCAGAGAAAAUAUGAUCUCUGAGAAACGACUGACAGAACUGGGCUUGUUUAGACUGGGAAAUAUAACUGACAUGAGAGGGUAUACCAGUCUAAAAAGGAAUAAACUGUAUCACAGAAAGGAAGGUAAUAAAUUG
rnacentral:lncRNA from 1 species